rnacentral:lncRNA from 1 species
UGAUCCACCGACCUUGGCCUUCCAAAGUGCUGGGAUUACAGGUGUGAGCCACCGUGCCUGGCAAGCUUAUUUGCAAAGCAUCAUCUAAAACCCUAGAAAGGAGACAGGGUCUCUCUUUGUUGCCUAGGCUGGAGUGCAGUGGAACGAACUUGGCUUAUUGAAGCAUUGACCACCUGGACCCAAGUGAUUCUCCUACCUUAGCCUCUUGAAUAGCUGUGACAACAGGUGUGCACUACCACACCCAGAUAAAUUUUGUAAUUUUUAUAGAGAGGGCAUUUGACCAUGUUGCCCAGGCUGGUCUCAAACUCCUGAGCUCAAGUGAUACUCCUGCCUCGGCCUCCCAAAGUGCUGGGAUUACAGAUGAAGAAAAUGAGGCACUGAGAGAUUACAUAACUUCCCUUGAGUCAUAUUUGCUUGUAAGUGGUAAGGCUGGAUGUUGAACCCAGGACAAAGGGAGCCCAGUGGAGGAUCCCUGGAGGAGCAAAUAGAAGAAACCCAAAAGGGACUUGAAAGCGGGUCCCCUCCCUCACCUGGAUUCCCAGUCCGAAGAGGAGGAAGCAUCCGCCCUCCUUCCCUCCUUCUGACCCACCCAGCCACCCACCCAAGGUGCCAUUAAAGUUAAUUGU